GAUUUGUGCAUAGAAGAGAUUUGUGCAUAUUCCCGUUACCAUGAUUUGUGCAUAUUCCAAUUAGCAUGAUGCGUGCACCCUGGACAUGAUUUGUGCAGAUUCUUGUUAGUAUGUACCCAUACAUAAUUCUAAUCCCAGCGGCAGCACGCACCUCGACUGUCUCUUGACGGCGGUACUCGACAUCCAGCCACGGCUGGCCUUCAGCACGUCCUCUCUGCAUGAGGUCACCUCAUCCUGUGCCCAGCGGACAAGCAAAGCAGAGGUAACAUAUCUCAUGAUAAUUACCUGGAAAAUGAUCCAUCCUUGUCUACUGAUAAUUGCCAAUGCACUUUGCAUUGACAACAUUGGCAACCUCAAACGAGUAGGAGUACUCUGAUCUAAAUGGUUCCAUGGUUUUUUUUUUGAAUUGGAGUGUAUUUCAUUACUCUCUUGUCACAGCUCAAUCGCUAUCCUCCAGUGAUUGAGGUACAAUGUCCCAGGUAGUUUGCAUACUGCCGGGCAAUUUACAACCUAGAGAAGCAAAUUCAUGUGCUAGCUUAUUACAAAUACAAGGACAGAAUCUAAAAUAGCAAGAAGAAAAUUCUGUUGCCUUCAGAUGCUUGAUCUCAGUGAUAAUACGGCCCAUGGUUUUAGAUGAACACUAAAUGGUUCCAUGGUUCUAGAUGAAUACUAAAUGGUUCCAUGAUUUUAGAUAUAGGUUCAGGUGGGUGAUGGGUGAUUUCUGAACCUAUAUGUAUGUACAUCUGAAUGGUUGCAUAUUUCUGUAGUAAGUAACUAAUAAAAGUGUAUGAGGUCAUAGUAUGAGUCUCUGACUAAUUAUGCAACGUCUAAUGAUAAAAUUCAUGAAUGCCCUUUUGCAGUUCCUUUUUCUUCAUUC
rnacentral:lncRNA from 1 species